rnacentral:tRNA from 1 species
GCGGGUGUAGUGAAACGAUUAUCACGUUAGCCUUCCAAGCUGAAAUUGUGGGUUUGAUUCCCGCCACCCGCACCA